CCCUUAGAUGUUCUGGGCCGCACGCGCGCUACACUGACGAAGUCAGCGAGCAUCUCCUUCGCCGAAAGGUGCGGGGAAUCUUGUGAAACUUUGUCGUGCUGGGGAUUGAUUUUUGAAAUUCUUGAUCAUCAACGAGGAAUUCCUAGUAAGUGUGAAUCAUCAGUUCGCGCUGAUUACGUCCCUGCCCUUUGUACACACCGCCCGUCGCUCCUACUGAUUGGAUGGUCCGGUGAACUGGUCGGACUGAUAAUUGUCACUGCGGGUGCAGUAGCAUUACGGAAAGUCCGGUGAACCUUAUCAUCUAGAGGAAGGAGAAGUCGUAACA
rnacentral:rRNA from 1 species